AUAGUGCCUCGCUAGUGGCGGGCAUGAUAACACACGCCGGAGGGUCGCACGCGGGUUCCAGUUGUGAUUGCUGGAGUUGUGUAUUGCCAGGAGGCUCUCCGAGAUUGGGGUCGGGUCACUGCCUCAUCCACCGGAGCGAUGGCGUUUCUCCGAAGCAUGUGGGGCGUGCUGAGUGCCCUGGGAAGGUCUGGAGCAGAGCUGUGCACCGGCUGUGGAAGUCGACUGCGCUCCCCCUUCAGUUUUGUGUAUUUACCGAGGUGGUUUUCAUCUGUCUUGGCAAGUUGUCCAAAGAAACCUGUAAGUUCUUACCUUCGAUUUUCUAAAGAACAACUACCCAUAUUUAAAGCUCAGAACCCAGCUCCUCCUUUUUCUGGCUCAGGGAAUUGUUAAUAAAGUUGCAACUUCUGUGGAAGCAUCCAUAAACUAUGCAAAAACUACAGAACUAAUUAGAAGAAUUGCCCAGCGUUGGAGGGAACUUCCUGAUUCAAAGAAAAAAAUAUAUCAAGAUGCUUAUAGGGCGGAGUGGCAGGUAUAUAAAGAAGAGAUAAGCAGAUUUAAAGAACAGCUAACUCCAAGUCAGAUUAUGUCUUUGGAAAAAGAAAUCAUGGACAAACAUUUAAAAAGGAAAGCUAUGACAAAAAAAAAAGAGUUAACACUGCUUGGAAAACCAAAAAGACCUCGUUCAGCUUAUAACGUUUAUGUAGCUGAAAGAUUCCAAGAAGCUAAGGGUGAUUCACCGCAGGAAAAGCUGAAGACUGUAAAGGAAAACUGGAAAAAUCUGUCUGACUCUGAAAAGGAAUUAUAUAUUCAGCAUGCUAAAGAGGACGAAACUCGUUAUCAUAAUGAAAUGAAGUCUUGGGAAGAACAAAUGAUUGAAGUUGGACGAAAGGAUCUUCUACGUCGCACAAUAAAGAAACAACGAAAAUAUGGUGCUGAGGAGUGUUAAAAGUAGAAGAUUGAGAUGUGUUCACAAUGGAUAGGCACAGGAAACCAGUUAGGUCUCAAUACCUGAAGCUAUCGUAAAAUUAAGAAAGGAUAAAGUUGGUAAACCUUUUAUAUUUAGUAUCUUUUUAUUCAGCUCAUGGACUUCUGCCAGCAUAAUACUUGCUUUGGAAAACCCAGAUAAAGGUUCAUGCAAACUUUAUUUUGUGUUUAGGAACUACUGAGGAUCAGAGUAAUCCAAGCAAAUGUGAAUCAUUUUACCUUUGACAAAGGUAAAUCAGACUAUGAAGUUUUUUUUAUACAGGAUGAUGACUAUGGAAAGAGUACUCUUGUUUCCUUAUAUUAUGGAGGCAGGAGUUUCGUUUUCAAAAUUGUUACAAAUUGUAGAAGCCACGGUGUUCUGUGAUAUAAGUGUGUGUUUUUCAUAAAGCAGGCAGAACUCAUCUAGGUAAAUUACAGUUCCUAGGUAUAAUUCACAUUGUAUUCAGAGUUGAUGGUUGUACAUAUAAGUGAUUGCUGGUUUUAGUUGCAACUUUGUAUAAAAGGGACUGAGAAAUUUAUAAACUUUUUUCUUACUGUCUUUUUUCUAAAGUAAAAACAAAGAAAUUAUGUGCCAGAUUUAUGCAUAUUAUUUUAUGUUGCAUAGAAUAAAAUUUUUAAUCUUUAAUUUUACAUUUCCUAAAUAUAUUUUAAGACGAAACAUUUGUUCUAUAGCUUUUCCCUUUUUUUAAGUAAGGAAUUUUAUUUUUUUCUGAAUUAUUUUCUCUCGUGAGUAUAUUGAUCCAGAAAGAAAACUUGUAUUAUGUGUGUUUUAAAAUGAGAAAUCUAAAAAACGAAAAGUCUCCAAAGUCUCUGGAAUUUGAAACACUUUGCAUAACGUAUAAAAGCCUGUUUAAGAGACAGCCAACUAUGGCCUGUGGAUCAAAUCCAGCCUGCUGCCUGCUUUUUAUGGCCUGUGAGCUAGGAAUUGUGUUUAUAAUUUUAAAUGUUUUUUUUUAAAGACUUUUAUGAUACUUGAAAAUUAACAUGAAUAUUUAGUGUUCAUAAAUAAAGUUUGUUGAAACACAACCAAGAUCAUUCUUUUACUUGUCUAUGGCUGCUUUUCUGUGGCAGAGUAGCUGCCACAGAAACUAUAGCCCACAAAGCCUGAUAUUUACUGUCUGUCUGUUUAUGGAAAAAAUUUAUCAACCCAUGGUCUAUAGUAUAGUGUGAUAUGACUACUGUUCCAAUGUAUUGAAGUGUUGGGAUAGUUUUUUCAAAUGUUUUCAGAUGUUCUUGUUUUAGAAUCAUUGUCACCUUUAAGAGGAAAAAGGUCAUCACUAGAUAAUCUAAACAAAUUGUUGCUUCUCAGUGUUAGCAAGGAAAAUAAUCUAGUUUCAAAUUACAUUGCAGUAUAAUGAAAAAGAUCCAUAUACUGUGGAAUGAUAUUCUUUUAAAAUUAUUUGCUAUGGCUUGGUAAAAAUGUACUUUUUCCAGUAGCACAUAUCACAAGAACCUCACUGUAGUUGAAAGCCAUCUUUCUUUAGUAUUUGUUUAUCCUUUUAGGAGAGUCAAGCAAAGGUUUUCACCACCUGUUUGAGCAGAAUAAUUCUCAUCAGUUCACAGAUAUAGGAUAACUCAAUUUAUAUGCACUUUAUGCGUUAUGCAAAAUAUUUAGAAAUUGUAGAUUCUAGAUCUCCAGAAAGACUUUGAAGACUUUGAUGUCACAAAAAGAUGACUUGUUAUAUGCUGAGCUUGACAAAGGUAGGAAUGGGAGAGAAAAAUAGUAGCUUAUGAGGAAAUAUGAGGCUUUAAAUAUAUAAAGUUGGAUAUUUUAAAAUAACUUUUCCCUGUGGGAGCUUCUCACUCUGGGUGCAGACAGGACAGUGUUGGCCAUUGGUGAAAUAGAUAGGAUGGGUUUGAGGCCAGAGCAGUCUGGGAGUAGGGGGAAAGAGAAGGAGGUGUGCUAGUGUCUAUCACAGGCUUUCUCAAUUAGGUUUGCAGGAGAAAAAGCCCUAAGUCCCUGUGUCAUCUAGAAUGGUACUAAUUAUGUACAGUCCCUAGGAGAAUGGAGAAAAUCAUAACUCAAAUCAUCGACUCAAUUCUGUUCUCUUCAGAUGAGCUCAGAGAGCACAUAGGAGUGUUUGUAAUGAGGGGUAUGUAAUGAUUGAGAUAGAGGAAUGAGUUACAUAAACAUCUCGGGACAAAUGCAGCAUAGAAAACAUCUUUGUAGUUACCCUGCGGGGAAAUUUCCUCUGAGUUCUUUUAACAUUAACUACCCGUAUUAUUUUAUACUUAACAUUCAUAUCAUACCUUCCCAAAUAUAUUGGGAAGUUCAGUGUUAAGUACGUUUCUCAAGUACUUAACAACUUAAUAUAGGGAGGAAAGGUGUAAACAGUGAAAAAAGAGCAAAACUAUUUUAUGGUAAUUUUAUGGUAGUAUCAGCUUGUAUUUGGUUCUCUGUUUCUAAAAUAAUGUAAUUUUUAAUAUUUUAAAUAAUAGGAUAACCUGGUUUCCAAGCCUUUUUUUCCCCCGACAUCCAGAAUACACACUGGAUCCAAGCCUUUCUUAAACAUCAGUACAUGUGGAAGACUGGCAUGCCAUAUACCAAAUGCCAUUCAGCUGUAACAGUAUACACAGAUUUUCUCUUAUAAAGAAUAAGAACAUCAUAACCAAUGACCACUCAUAUAAAGUCUUAUUUGUGUGUGUGUGUGUGUGUGUGUGCACGUGUGUGUGUUAGAGUCUCAUUAUAUUGCUCAGGCUGGAGGGCAUGGUGUGAUCUUGGCUCACUGCAGCCUUGACCUCCUGGGCUCAAGUGAUCCUUCCGAGUCGUUGGGACUACAGUAGGUGAACACCACCAUGCCUGGCUAAUUUUUGUAUUUUUUUUUUAAUCAAGAUGGGAUCUUGCUAUGUUGCCCAGGCUGGUCUCAAACUCCUGGCAUCAAGCGUUCCUCCUUCCUUGGCCUCCUUAAGUGCUGGGAUUAUAGGUGUGAGCCACCAUGCUUGACCAUAAAGCCUUACUAUUUCUUUUGGAGACACAGUCUUGCUCUGUCCAAGCUGGAAUGCAGUGAUGUGAUCAUGGCUCACUGCAGCCUUGAACUCCCAGGCUUAAGAGAUCCUCCCAUCUCAGCCUCCUGAGUAGCUGGGAUUAUAGGUGCAGACCAUCAAGCCUUGCUAUUAUUUUUUAGACUUUUCUUAAUUUCAUCCAACAAAGUAGUUGCUGUAGGAGCUGAGUGUUAGAAGGAAAGAUGCUGAAGAAAUGAAAUCAAGCAGGGUGUAUACUGUCAUGAAUAGGCAUACAGUAGUUUUUAUACUUUUGUUCUUUGGAGUACCAAUGUUAGGUUUUACAAAAGUAAUUUGAUGAGGGGAAGGAGGGUUGUGUAUUUAUUUUACUUUCUGAUGUUUGCUUAAAUAAUACUGUGUACGUAUUCAGCUUGCUGUAAUUCUGUAAUUACGCUAUUGCGUUUGGCUAACUCCUUUUUGGAAAUGUCUUUUUUUUUGUACAAGGCAUGUGUUAGUUUUUACUAAUUGCUCUGAAUGUGUAUAUUUAGAUUUCUGAAUUGAAAAAAAAUAGCGUACAAUAAGUAGAUUUAAAGUAAUUAGAACACUUUAUUGAUUUUUCUGAUGUUUUCUGUAUCUAAAAUUUAUCACCACCAGGUUGUGCUAAAACAGCAGGAAGUUUUUAUAUUGUGAGUGACAGUACCCAUUAUUUCUCUUAAUUUUACUAACAUUUACUAUAAGAAUAUUCUCUCGCUCUUUUCUCCACUCACAGCCAUUCUCCCUCCUUCUCUUCAUAACAUCAAGCUGUCACAGACAAAUCUGAAAAUGUUACAAGCACAGACUAUGUUGUAUGUUUUGAAAUUUUAGAACAGUAAUGUUCUUUUUAAAAUUGAACUUCUGCAGAGUAAGAAAAUGAAUACAUUUAUUACUUUAAAUUUGUAAAAUUUUCCAAAGUAAAACCAUACAAAGCUAGUGUCAGUCUCUCUCAUUGUUCACAAAUAAAGGACUUUUGUUAAUUGAUUAAAUCACUUACUAUAUUCGAUAUGAAAUAUAUAAAACAUACAACCAUUAUCUAAUACAUUUCAGAAUGUUUCACUGGUUACAGGAGCCAGUAAAUAAAGUUGACUCUAAACAGGAAUUUUAAAUAAACUAAACAUUUUUUCAUCACCAA